rnacentral:piRNA from 1 species
UAUCCUACAUGGUUACAUGGACCACGAAU